GGUGAGAUGGCCGAGCGGUUAAGGCGCCAGGUUAAGGUAUACCUUAGCACAAAUUCCUGGUCACGAAAGUGGCGUGGGUUCAAGUCCCACUCUCAUCA
rnacentral:tRNA from 1 species